UACGUAGGGGGCAAGCGUUGUCCGGAAUCAUUGGGCGUAAAGCGCGUGUAGGCGGUCCGAUUAGUCGGCUGUGAAAGUCAAGGGCUCAACCCUUGAAUGCCGGUCGAUACUGUCGGACUAGAGUCCGGAAGAGGAGAGUGGAAUUCCUGGUGUAGCGGUGAAAUGCGCAGAUAUCAGGAAGAACACCCGUGGCGAAGGCGGCUCUCUGGGACGGUACUGACGCUGAGACGCGAAAGCGUGGGGAGCGAACAGG
rnacentral:rRNA from 1 species